GAUGAACGCUGGCGGCGUGCUUAACACAUGCAAGUCGAACGGGAAAUAUUUCAUUGAGACUUCGGUGGAUUUGAUUUAUUUCUAGUGGCGGACGGGUGAGUAACGCGUGGGUAACCUGCCUUAUACAGGGGGAUAACAGUCAGAAAUGGCUGCUAAUACCGCAUAAGCGCACAGAGCUGCAUGGCUCAGUGCGAAAAACUCCGGUGGUAUAAGAUGGACCCGCGUUGGAUUAGCUUGUUGGUGAGGUAACGGCCCACCAAGGCGACGAUCCAUAGCCGGCCUGAGAGGGUGAACGGCCACAUUGGGACUGAGACACGGCCCAGACUCCUACGGGAGGCUGCAGUGGGGAAUAUUGCACAAUGGGGGAAACCCUGAUGCAGCGACGCCGCGUGAAGGAAGAAGUAUCUCGGUAUGUAAACUUCUAUCAGCAGGGAAGAUAGUGACGGUACCUGACUAAGAAGCCCCGGCUAACUACGUGCCAGCCGCCGCGGUAA
rnacentral:rRNA from 1 species